rnacentral:misc_RNA from 1 species
UUUCCGUAGGUGAACCUGCGGAAGGAUCAUCAGUGAAUUAAGCGCGUCUCUUCUUAGAGCGUGACCUCCACUUUUAACACUAAGCACUAUUUGGCGAGGUAGAGAAACUAGUCGUGUCGUCUCUCCUUACGGCUUCAUUUAUACACUGGUUAAAGUAUUGAACAAACUAUCGAAACUACAAAACUUUCAACCACGGAUCUUUUCGCUCUCGCAUCGGUGGAGAGCGCAGCAGAGCAGAAGAACACACGUCUAAACUCGAGACACGCAUACACAUC